UACGUAGGGUGCGAGCGUUAAUCGGAAUUACUGGGCGUAAAGCGCACGUAGGCGGAUUGUUUAGUCAGGGGUGAAAUCCCGAGGCUCAACCUCGGAACUGCCUUUGAUACUGGCAAUCUCGAGUCCGGAAGAGGUGAGUGGAAUUCCUAGUGUAGAGGUGAAAUCCGUAGAUAUUAGGAAGAACACCAGUGGCGAAGGCGGCUCACUGGUCCGGUACUGACGCUGAGACGCGAAAGCGUGGGGAGCGAACAGG
rnacentral:rRNA from 1 species